AAAUGAAAACGACUCUUACCUAUGGAUAUCUCGGCUCUCGCAUCGAUGAAGAACGUAGCAAAAUGCGAUACUUGGUGUGAAUUGCAGAAUCCCGUGAACCAUCGAGUCUUUGAACGCAAGUUGCGCCUGAAGCCAUUAGGCCGAGGGAACAUCUGCCUGGGCGUCAUGCAUCCCGUCGUCCCCUCGCAUCGUGCCUCUAUCACGGGGUGCGCUGUCGUCGUGGGGCGGAUACUAUCCUCCCGUGCGCCUCGCGCUCACUGCUGGCCUAAAUACGAGUCCACAUAGAUGGACGUCGCGGCAAGUGGUGGUUGCAACUCAACUCUCUUUGCCGUCGCGGCUAUGGCCCGUCGAGCGUCUCGGACUCCAGGACCUCUUCGCACUCAGGUGCUCCAACCGCGACACCAGGUCAGGCGGGAUUACCCGCUGAGUGUAAGCAUAUCAAUAAGCGGAGGAAAAUAAACUUACAAGGAUUCCCUUUGUAACGGCGAGCGAACCGGGAACAUCCCAGCCUUAGAAUUGGGUGGCUCCGUCAUUCGAAUUAUAGUCUGGAGAGCCGUCGUCAGCGGCGGACCAGGCCCAAGUCCCCUAGAAGGAGGCGCUGGAGAGGGUGAGAGCCUUGUUAUACCCGGACCCUGUCGCACCACGAGGCGCUGUCUACGAGUAGGGUUGUUUGGGAAUGCAGCCCAAAUCGAGCGGUGAAUUCUGUCCAAGGAUAAAUACGGGCGAGAGACCGAUAGCGAACAAGUACCGCGAGGGAAAGAUGAAAAGGACUUUGAAAAGAGAGUCAAAGAGUGCUUGAAAUUGUCGGGAGGGAAGCAGAUGGGGGCCGGUGAUACACCCCGAGAAGGAUGUAGAACGGCGAUGAGCCGGUCUGCCGAUCGACUCAGGGUGUUGACCAGCGUCAUUGGGGGGGAGGCCAAAGCCCGGGCUCUUUAUAUGCUUGUAGAACACCAUCUCCUCGAUUGUGGUAGGCAGUGCGUGCCUCUGGCAUCCUUCGGCAUCUGCACGCUCCGAACGCUAGCCUGUGGUCUCCCUAUUCAACCCAUCUUGAAAUACGGACAAAGGAGUCUGACAUGUGUGCGAGUCAAUGGGCGAGUAUACCCGUAAGGCGCAACGAAGUUGAUUUGUUAGAUCCCCCCGAGGGGUGCACCGCCGACCGACCUUGAUCUUCUGAGAAGGGUUCGAGUGUGAGCAUACCUGUCGGGACCCGAAAGAUGGUGAACUAUACCUGAGCGGGGCGAAGCCAGAGGAAACUCUGGUGGAGGCCCGCAGCGAUACUGACGUGUAAAUCGUUCGUCUGACUUGGGUAUAAGGGCGAAAGACUAAUCGAACCGUCUAGUAGCUGGUUCCUUCCGAAGUUUCCCUCAAGAUAGCUGGAGCUCGCGUGCGAGUUCUAUCGGGUAAAGCUAAUGAUUAGAGGCCUCGGGGGAUGAACUGAAAGCCGGGUUACGGUGCCAAACUGCGCGCUAAACUAGAUCCCACAAAGGGUGUUGGUCGAUUAAGACAGCAGGACGGUGGUCAUGGAAGUCGAAAUCCGCUAAGGAGUGUGUAAGAACUCACCUGCCGAAUAAACUAGCCUCGAAAAUGGAUGGCGCUUAAGCGCGCGACUUACACCCAGCCGUCAGGGCAAAUGCCAAGCCCCGAUGAGUAGGAGGGUGCGGCGGUCGCUGCAAAACCUUGGGUGCGAUCCCAGGUGGAGCGGUUGUUGGUGUAGAUCUUGAUGAUAGUAGCAAAUAUUCAAAUGAGAACUUUAAAGGCCGAAGAGGGGAAAGGUUCCAUGUUAACGGAACUUGCACAUGGGUUAGUCGAUCCUAAGGGUCGGGGAAACCCCAACAGACAGUGCAUAUUGCACGUGCUCCGAAAGGGAAUCGGGUUAAAAUUCCUAAAUCGGGAUGUGGUGGUCGACGGCAGCGUUAGGAAGUCCGGAGACGUCGGCAGGAUCCUCGGAAAGAGUUAUCUUUUUUGUUUAACAGCCUGCCCACCCUGGAAUCAGCUCAGCCGGAGGUAGGGUCCAGCGGCUGGAAAAGCAGCGCACGUCGCGUGGUGUCCGGCGCGCUCCCGGUGGCCCUUGAAAAUCCGCAGGACCGAAUGCUAUCCACGCCCAGUCGUACUCACAACCGCAUCAGGUCUCCAAGGUGAACAGCCUCUGGUUGAUGGAAUAAUGUAGGCAAGGGAAGUCAGCAAAAUGGAUCCAUAACUUCGGGAAAAGGAUUGGCUCUGAGGGCUGGGCACGGGGGUCCCAGUCCCGCACCCGUUGGCUGUCACUGGACUGCCCGAGAUACUCUCUGCGCAUUGAACGGCCAACUCAGAACUGGUACGGACAAGGAGAAUCCGACUGUUUUAUUAAAACAAAGCAUUGCGAUGGUCCCAAUGGAUGUUCACGCAAUGUGAUUUCUCCCUAGUGCUCUGAAUGUCAAACUGAAGAAAUUCAACCAAGCACGGGUAAACGGCGGGAGUAACUAUGACUCUCUUAAGGUAGCCAAAUGCCUCGUCAUCUAAU
rnacentral:rRNA from 1 species